AACCAGACCCUAAAGUGAUUGAUUUUUUUUAUGCAGCAGGAGCAGAUAGAUAGCUUCCUUCCAAUUGAGAUGGGUAUAGUGAGCAAGCAGCCGACAAAUUACUUCUGCAAGACUCUGACGGGAAGCGAUACGAGUACUCACGGGGGAUUCUUUGUUCCCCACCGUGCUGCUGAGAAGGUGUUUCCUCCCCUGGAUUUCACUCAGCAGCCACCAGCGCAGGAGCUCAUUGCGCGUGAUCUUCAUGAUGUUGAAUGGAAGUUCAGGCACAUCUUUCGAGGUAAGGAGAAGGUAGGGAAAUAGAUCCGUGCCGUGGUUGAGGUAUUGGAAAGAAUGAAUGUUGAUGCACAUAAGGGAUUAGUGUAACAUCUUCAGGAGUCAGUGCUUGUAUAGCAUAUAGAUAAAUUGGUUAUAGAUGUUAAGAGUAGUGCUUACUUAGUUUGAUGCCCAUAGAUGUUAGAUAAGAUGGAUACAAACGCCAAAUUAUGUAUUCAGGCAUGUAGCAUUUUUAUGGUUGGAAAGAAUUGAUUGCAUGUCUCAUGAUAUAGGUUGGGUUUGAAGGUAAUUAGAUAAGGCAUUUCUUUGAUUCAAUACAGUGAAAAAAGUUGAUGUUCUUGAAUAUAAGAGAGGCCCAAGGAAUUGACAAUAAUAUAACAGUAGAGUUGUAAAUAAGCAAGAUUAUCUAUUAAAGAAAUUUUGUUGAAUAAGGACUCUUCUUGAAUGGUUUAACAGAAUAUAUUCUGUGGCAUGAACAGUUAUAAGAGAGAUGUUGUUUCUCACCUUUGAUCGGGAUUAACUGCCAAAACUAUCUUCUUCUUUGAACCAUAGAAUGAGUAAUUUGGAUCAUCAAUUUGAGCAACCCGCCGACCUUAAUGUGAAUCCUGGGACAGAAUGCAUUGUUUAUGCCCUUAUCAAAUGUAUUUUUACAUGUACAUAUGAACGUGUGCAUGCACACAUGUAAAUUGUUGUUUGGCGUUCCAACAUCCCUUUUCUUUUCAAAAUAGUAAAACUUCUAGCAGUGGUAAAGUUGGGUAAUUGGAGUAAACUGUUGCAUCCAGUUCUCCAGUGUUAUAUGAUUCUUCAUAAACAACAUACCCCAUGUAUCCAUCAUUGUUCCCCCUGAGGCUCAAGCGUCCUUGGCAGCCUGGAGCACCAUAUUCUCAAGAGAAUAAAGAACUCGAGAGCAAUUCCCCGGUGUUUCUAAGAGGGGGUAGUGGAGAACGAGGCAUUCAGCCUUUUAAUUUUCUGCCUUUUGGU